rnacentral:rRNA from 1 species
GGGCCAGACUCCUACGGGAGGCAGCAGUGGGGAAUAUUGGGCAAUGGGCGCAAGCCUGACCCAGCAACGCCGCGUGAAGGAAGAAGGCUUUCGGGUUGUAAACUUCUUUUAUCAGGGACGAAGCAAGUGACGGUACCUGAUGAAUAAGCCACGGCUAACUACGUGCCAGCAGCCGCGGUAAUACGUAGGUGGCAAGCGUUAUCCGGAUUUACUGGGUGUAAAGGGCGUGUAGCCGGGCCGGCAAGUCAGAUGUGAAAUCCCAAGGCUCAACCUUGGGACUGCAUUUGAAACUGUUGGUCUUGAGUAUCGGAGAGGCAGGCGGAAUUCCUAGUGUAGCGGUGAAAUGCGUAGAUAUUAGGAGGAACACCAGUGGCGAAGGCAGAUUGCUGGACAGUAACUGACGCUGAGGCGCGAAAGCGUGGGAGCAAACAGGAUUAGAUACCCUCGUAU